UACAGGGGGUGCAAACGUUGCUCGGAAUCAUUGGGCGUAAAGCGCACGUAGGCGGUCUGUUAUGUCGGAUGUGAAAGCCCUUGGCUCAACUGAGGAAGUGCAUCCGAAACUGGCAGGCUAGAGUACUAAAGAGGAUCGCGGAAUUCCCGGUGUAGAGGUGAAAUUCGUAGAUAUCGGGAGGAACACCGGUGGCGAAGGCAGCUCGCUGGGACGUGACUGACGCUGAGACGCGAAAAGCGUGGGGGAGCAAACAGGG
rnacentral:rRNA from 1 species